rnacentral:rRNA from 1 species
AUUGAACGCUGGCGGUAUGCUUAACACAUGCAAGUCGAACGGCAGCAUGGUCUAGCUUGCUAGACUGAUGGCGAGUGGCGGACGGGUGAGUAACGCGUAGGAAUAUGCCUUGAAGAGUGGGACAACUUGGGGAAACUCAAGCUAAUACCGCAUGUACUCGAGAGAGUAAAGCUGGGGACCUUUAGGCCUGGCGCUUUAAGAUUAGCCUGCGUCCGAUUAGCUAGUUGGUAGGGUAAAGGCCUACCAAGGCGACGAUCGGUAGCUGGUCUGGGAGGAUGAUCAGACACACUUGAACUGAGAGGCGGUCCAGACUCCAACGGGAGGCAGCAGUGGGGAAUAUUGGACAAUGGGGGGAACCCUGAUCCAGCAAUGCCGGGUGUGUGAAGAAGGCCUGAAGGUUGUAAAGCACUUUCAGUGGGGAGGAGGUUUGGAAGGUUAAGAGCUAUUCAAAUGGACGUUACCCACAGAAGAAGCACCGGCUAACUCCGUGCCAGCCGCCGCCGUAA